CUACGUGCCAGCAGCCGCGGUAAUACGUAGGGGGCGAGCGUUAUCCGGAAUUAUUGGGCGUAAAGAGUGCGUAGGUGGCACCUUAAGCGCAGGGUUUAAGGCAAUGGCUCAACCAUUGUUCGCCUUGCGAACUGGGGUGCUUGAGUGCAGGAGGGGAAAGUGGAAUUCCUAGUGUAGCGGUGAAAUGCGUAGAUAUUAGGAGGAACACCAGUGGCGAAGGCGACUUUCUGGACUGUUACUGACACUGAGGCACGAAAGCGUGGGGAGCAAACAGGAUUAGAUACCCUGGUAGUCCACGCCGUAAACGAUGAGCACUAGGUGUCGGGGUCGCAAGACUUCGGUGCCGCAGUUAACGCAUUAAGUGCUCCGCCUGGGGAGUACGCACGCAAGUGUAAAACUCAAAGGAAUUGACGGGGACCCGCACAAGCAGCGGAGCAUGUGGUUUAAUUCGAAGCAACGCGAAGAACCUUACCAGGACUUGACAUCC
rnacentral:rRNA from 1 species